rnacentral:rRNA from 1 species
CCUACGGGAGGCAGCAGUGGGGAAUAUUGGGCAAUGGGCGAAAGCCUGACCCAGCGACGCCGCGUAGGGGAAGAAGGCCUUCGGGUUGUAACCCCCUUUUGCAGGGGACGACACAGGACGGUACCCUGCGAAUAAGCCACGGCUAACUCUGUGCCAGCAGCCGCGGUAAGACAGAGGUGGCAAGCGUUGCUCGGAUUUACUGGGCUUAAAGGGCGCGUAGGCGGCUUUAUAAGUCCGAGGUGGAAUUCCACAGCUUAACUGUGGAACUGCCUUGGAAACUAGAGGGCUUGAGUCAGGUAGAGGAGGGCGGAAUUCCCGGUGUAGCGGUAAAAUGCGUAGAUAUCGGGAGGAAGGCCGGUGGCGAAAGCGGCCCUCGGGGCCUGUACUGACGCUGAGGCGCGAAAGCGGGGGGAGCAAACAGGAUUAGAUACCCGAGUAUU